rnacentral:rRNA from 1 species
UACGGGGGGGGCAAGCGUUGUUCGGAAUUACUGGGCGUAAAGGGUUCGUAGGUGGCUUGUUAAGUCAGGGGUGAAAUCCUGGAGCUCAACUCCAGAACUGCCUUUGAUACUGGCGAUCUCGAGUCCGGGAGAGGUGAGUGGAACUGCGAGUGUAGAGGUGAAAUUCGUAGAUAUUCGCAAGAACACCAGUGGCGAAGGCGGCUCACUGGCCCGGUACUGACGCUGAGGUGCGAAAGCGUGGGGAGCAAACAGG